UAAACAUCAUAGGCAGUCGGGAGGGUAGUCGGAACCGAAGAAGACUCAAAGCGAACCAAACAGGCAAAAAAUUUAGGGUCGGCAUCAAAAGCAAUAUCAGCACCAACAGAAACAACCUGAUUAGCGGCGUUGACAGAUGUAUCCAUCUGAAUGCAAUGAAGAAAACCACCAUUACCAGCAUUAACCGUCAAACUAUCAAAAUAUAACGUUGACGAUGUAGCUUUAGGUGUCUGUAAAACAGGUGCCGAAGAAGCUGGAGUAACAGAAGUGAGAACCAGCUUAUCAGAAAAAAAGUUUGAAUUAUGGCGAGAAAUAAAAGUCUGAAACAUGAUUAAACUCCUAAGCAGAAAACCUACCGCGCUUCGCUUGGUCAACCCCUCAGCGGCAAAAAUUAAAAUUUUUACC
rnacentral:rRNA from 1 species